GACACGGUCUGAACUUUGAACAGUCUUAUGGAAAAUUUGAGAUGGUGUUAAGAACCGGCUCCCAGCUCUCCCACACACACCGUGGCAACCUCGUACUAACAUUGGCUUAAACAGUUACAAAGCAUGUUGGCGCCCGUCAUUCAACAGAGAAAAGAAACAGGCAGAGAAAAGAAAAAAACACGACCCUGGGACGUUGGAUCAUAUCGGCCCAGCACAGCGAGACAAAAGCUGGCGAUCCUCGGGUUGGCAUGUGACGGUUCACUGGGCGCUCGGCACAAGGACGCUUUGAAACAAUGACACCGCGUGGAGGCUCAAUCACCGAGGUCACAGGGGAGCCAGAGAGGGGAUCACUUAGCUACGGGCUUAAGUAUAUCAGCCAACAUCUAUGGAGCACUUGCGGUGUGCCAGGCCCGCUCUAAGCAUGCACUUGUGUUAAUCUAAUCCUGACAUCCGCCCUUGGAGAGGGGCAAUGGUAUUAGCCAUGUCUCACACAUGGGGAAACUGAGACCUAGAGUGGUGAGGGAGGCCUUGCUAUUUGUCCCACAGCUAGUGAGAGAUGGACUCUGCAGCCUGGUAACUGCACACCCUGAAUCCGCAAAGCCCUGCACCAGCGGAAUACAGCAGAUGAUGUGCUGGAAUGAAGAAAAUCUGGAUUCCGUGCUCCCCAGCCCCUUCUUGCAUAGGAUCUCGUACCGCGUAGCUGGGCUGUCACUCGGGGGCUCCCAGUUUCUGGAAAACAGCCUCUCAGAGACUGUUCCUCCCAUUCCAUGUGGUGGGCUGACACUCUUCCAGUAAAUGUUGUCUGCUUCUGA